UGUCUCAGUUCGGAUUGGAGUCUGCAACUCGACUCCAUGAAGCUGGAUUCGCUAGUAAUCGCGCAUCAGCCAUGGCGCGGUGAAUACGUUCCCGGACCUUGUACACACCGCCCGUCAAGCCAUGGAAGCCGGGAGUGCCUGAAGUGUGCAACCGCAAGGAGCGCCCUAAGGUAAAACUGGUGACUGGGGCUAAGUCGUAACAAGGUACC
rnacentral:rRNA from 1 species